AAUUGAAACUUGAUUAAGCCAAAAUACAGACAUAAUUAAAUACACAUCCAUGAAAUUCAGUAUGUACCUCAUGUUCAGUACUAGCUGAACAUAGACAAAACCAAAUCUCAAAUGACCCACAAUUUAAUUCUCAAUUAAAUUGGAUCAAGUCCUUCCUACUUAACUUGACUUAUGUGCGUGACUCCGAUAGGUUCGAACACUAAGCCGGUAGUACAUGAACCACUCCAUGCACUAAUCGAGGUGACCAUCUAGCAAUGAUACCCGAUGUCCAGAUAGGUCGAAUAUGCAAAGCAACAUUCAAGAACCCAUUCAUAUGGUUACCGCAUAAUUCAUCCUUUUGACCAACGAUG
rnacentral:lncRNA from 1 species